AAUAUCUCGAACUUUCACGACAAAAAGACCAUUUUCCCGAAAUUCAAUAUAUGUAUCAGUGAGAGGUGCUAAAGUUUGUAUGGAAGUCUAUGGGAAAACAUUUGGUGGUGUUUGUCCUAUAGAAAAGCAAUGCAUUAUCAAGAAGGAAGAGAUUAAUGAACCCUACCCUCUUACAAUGAACAAAACAUGGACACACUCGGGAUGAUCCUUUUGCUUUCAUUCAGAGUUUCAAGAUGUGGGUCUGAUUGACUGGGGUGUGAAAUGUAACAGCCAAUGGUGUACUUAAGCUAAGACUGUCAGUCCCAAUAUUCAAGAGCAAUGCAUUAUCAAGAAGGAAGAGAUUAAUGAACCCUACCCUCUUACAAUGAACAAAACAUGGACACACUCGGGAUGAUCCUUUUGCUUUCAUUCAGAGUUUCAAGAUGUGGGUCUGAUUGACUGGGGUGUGAAAUGUAACAGCCAAUGGUGUACUUAAGCUAAGACUGUCAGUCCCAAUAUUCAAGAGGUGAGAUAAGCAAUGGAUAUGUGUUCUAAAUUUACUAAAUUGACCACUUUUUAUAAAUGUUUCUUUUACUCUAUAGGAAAAACCCCUACAUAAACAAAUACAUGGGCGCAGACAUUUUGGACACCCAAGGUUGUGCGGAGGAGAAAAUGCUAGCUGGCGCGUGAUUGGUCAAUAAGAGAAAAGACUUGUUAUGUAUUUGACAAGUGAAAUAAAGUUGAUAAAAAUCUGA